UUGAACGCUGCCGGCAGGCCUAACACAUGCAAGUCGAGCGGUAACAGGGGUAGCUUGCUACCCGCUGACGAGCGGCGGACGGGUGAGUAAUGCAUAGGAAUCUGCCCGGUAGUGGGGGAUAACCUGGGGAAACCCAGGCUAAUACCGCAUACGUCCUACGGGAGAAAGGGGGCUUCGGCUCCCGCUAUUGGAUGAGCCUAUGUCGGAUUAGCUAGUUGGUGAGGUAAAGGCUCACCAAGGCAACGAUCCGUAGCUGGUCUGAGAGGAUGAUCAGCCACAUCGGGACUGAGACACGGCCCGAACUCCUACGGGAGGCAGCAGUGGGGAAUAUUGGACAAUGGGGGCAACCCUGAUCCAGCCAUGCCGCGUGUGUGAAGAAGGCCCUCGGGUUGUAAAGCACUUUCAGCGAGGAAGAACGCCUAGUGGUUAAUACCCAUUAGGAAAGACAUCACUCGCAGAAGAAGCACCGGCUAACUCCGUGCCAGCAGCCGCGGUAAUACGGAGGGUGCAAGCGUUAAUCGGAAUUACUGGGCGUAAAGCGCGCGUAGGUGGCUUGAUAAGCCGGUUGUGAAAGCCCCGGGCUCAACCUGGGAACGGCAUCCGGAACUGUCAGGCUAGAGUGCAGGAGAGGAAGGUAGAAUUCCCGGUGUAGCGGUGAAAUGCGUAGAGAUCGGGAGGAAUACCAGUGGCGAAGGCGGCCUUCUGGACUGACACUGACACUGAGGUGCGAAAGCGUGGGUAGCAAACAGGAUUAGAUACCCUGGUAGUCCACGCCGUAAAC
rnacentral:rRNA from 1 species